CUACGGGUUGCUCCAGUGGGGAAUAUUGGACAAUGGGGGAAACCCUGAUCCAGCAAUGCCGCGUGAGUGAAGAAGGCCUUCGGGUUGUAAAGCUCUUUUAUAGGGGAAGAUAAUGACGGUACCCUAUGAAUAAGCUCCGGCUAACUUCGUGCCAGCAGCCGCGGUAAUACGAAGGGAGCAAGCGUUGUUCGGAAUAACUGGGCGUAAAGGGCGCGUAGGCGGCCACGUAAGUUUGAUGUGAAAGCCCUGGGCUCAACCUAGGAAUUGCAUUGAAAACUAUGGGGCUAGAGUGUUGUAGGGGAUGAUGGAAUUAUGCAUGGAGAGGUGGAAUUCAUAGAUAUGCAUAGGAACACCGGAGGCGAAGGCGAUCAUCUGGGCAACAACUGACGCUGAGGCGCGAAAGCGUGGGGAGCAAACAGGAUUAGAUACCCCGGUAGUC
rnacentral:rRNA from 1 species